rnacentral:rRNA from 1 species
AUUGAACGCUGGCGGUAGGCCUAACACAUGCAAGUCGAGCGGAUGAAGGGAGCUUGCUCCUGUAUUCAGCGGCGGACGGGUGAGUAAUGCCUAGGAAUCUGCCUGGUAGUGGGGGAUAACGUCCGGAAACGGGCGCUAAUACCGCAUACGUCCUGAGGGUGAAAGUGGGGGUUCUUCGGACCUCACGCUAUCAGAUGAGCCUAGGUCGGAUUAGCUAGUUGGUGGGGUAAAGGCCUACCAAGGCGACGAUCCGUAACUGGUCUGAGAGGAUGAUCAGUCACACUGGAACUGAGACACGGUCCAGACUCCUACGGGAGGCAGCAGUGGGGAAUAUUGGACAAUGGGCGAAAGCCUGAUCCAGCCAUGCCGCGUGUGUGAAGAGGGUCUUCGGAUUGUAAAGCACUUUAAGUUGGGAGGAAGAGCAGUAAGUUAAUACCUUGCUGUUUUGACGUUACCAACAGAAUAAGCACCGGCUAACUUCGUG